UGUUGCUUCGGUGCGCCCGCCUCACGGCCGCCGGGGGGCUUCUGCCCCCGGGUCCGCGCGCACCGGAGACACUAUUGAACUCUGUCUGAAGAUUGCAGUCUGAGCAUAAACUAAAUAAGUUAAAACUUUCAACAACGGAUCUCUUGGUUCCGGCAUCGAUGAAGAACGCAGCGAAAUGCGAUAACUAAUGUGAAUUGCAGAAUUCAGUGAAUCAUCGAGUCUUUGAACGCACAUUGCGCCCCCUGGUAUUCCGGGGGGCAUGCCUGUCCGAGCGUCAUUGCUGCCCUCAAGCACGGCUUGUGUGUUGGGCUCCGUCCCCCCGGGGACGGGUCCGAAAGGCAGCGGCGGCACCGAGUCCGGUCCUCGAGCGUAUGGGGCUUUGUCACCCGCUCUGUAGGCCCGGCCGGCGCCAGCCGACAACCAAUCAUCCUUUUUUCAGGUUGACCUCGGAUCAGGUAGGGAUACCCGCUGAACUUAAGCAUAUCAAUAAGC
rnacentral:rRNA from 1 species